rnacentral:rRNA from 1 species
UCCGGUCCUUAGAGCGGAGUGGAACUACCCUUUCCCAUUCCGAACAGGGUCGUAAAACGCUCCAGCGCCAACGAUAGUUGGGCCGAAAGGCCCCGCGAAAAUAGGUCAGGGCCGGAU